AAUUUUAAAAUGCGACUUGUCAAAAAAGGACAACUGGUAACCUUUUUAUAUAUGCGAUAGUUAGGGUUUAUUCAGAAUAAAAACAUAUUUCAUCACUCUUUUUGGGUCGCACUUGAGGAAAUUCUAGUAUUCGGCAUGGAUAGCUGUCCCUUCUUUCCUUAACAAGAUCUUUCCAUCAUGUUGGACAUAAAUUAUACGUUUACUUGAUAUCUUUGUGCCCAACAUGAAGAGGAAGCUCUUGUUACUGGAUAUAAAUUGACUGGCUUCACCUUCACGGCACUUUGGAUAGAACCCCACCCAGAAGAACACUUGGUUUUCAUAGAAGCAACAGAAAUGUCAAGUUAACGUGAAAAGAAAAUAUAUAUUUUUCUUGAACGUUUAAUUGACAUUUUUGUCAGCUUAACUUGAAUGAAAAAUAUAUGAUUAACAACGCAAUGAUAAAAGCAACCGACAACUUGGUGUUCAAUGUGAUGAAAAUGAUGAACCAAAUGAGGCUGAUGAAUUCUAAAAUGCCACUUGUCAAAAAAGGACAACUGGUCGAAAUCGAGUAAAUUCUUGAAUUCUGCAAAAAUUGCUGUCCCUUCUUCCUAAACAAGUUCUUCUCAUCAUGUUGGAUAGAUAAUAUACGUUUACUUGACGUGAUAUCUGCUCAAUAUGAGGAGAAGCACUUGUUACUGGAUAUUAAUUGACUGGCUUCACGGCACUUUCGACAACGCCUCACCAAGAAGAACACUUGGCUUUCAUGGAGGCAACAAAAAUGUCAACAUAACGUGAAAGAAGAAUAUAAUAUGAUAAAUAGCGCAAAAAUGAAGUUAACCGACAACUUGGUGUUCAAUGUUAUGAAAGUGAGAACCAAAUAAGGUUGGAAAAUUCUAGAAUGCUGACAAGAAAGGAUAGAUAUAUUGGAUGAGAGUCACAAAAAACCCAGAACCCGAUGCUAGGAAUGUUUGUGAGAUUACUGGGAUACUCUAUACCUAUAUAAGGUUUCUUUAGGGAUAGAAUAUCCCAGCCAUCAACAAUAGACGUCGAAAUUGAAUUCUUGAAUUCUGCAAAAAUAGCCGUCACUUCUUCCCUGAACAAGUUCUUCUCACCGUGUUGGACAGAACAUACACGUUUAAUUUACUUGACGUUUGAACUGCCCAACACGGAGAGAAGCACUUGAUGUUACUGAAUAUAAGUUGACUGACUUCACGGCACUUUGAUUAGAGCCCCAGCCAGAAGAACACUUGGCUCUUGGCUUUCAUAGACGCUAGGAAAAUGUCAACUUAACUUGAAUGAAAAAUAUAUGAUAAAUAACGCAAAGGUGGAUACAAGCGACAAUGUGAGUAUCUCUUUCGAAUUAUUUUUGAAAUCAGUAUGUAGGUACGAAUCUGUGGGUAAUCUGAAAUGGAAAUUUCACCUUUAUUUUACUUCGGGAUUAUCACUCAAAAAUUUUGCCUGAAAUUCCGAGUUAAGUAUAUCUCAGAAUUUUGAAAUUGCGAAUUAUAUAUCGGUAAUUUGUUCCAAAAUUUUGGGCAUCUCUAAAAUAUCUGUAGAAAACACAUAACAACAUUUCAAAUCUUACGUGCAGAUGUAAAGGCUGUUUUUUAGAGCUAUAGAACUUUGAAUUGCAAUAAAACAACGAUGGAUUAUUCGAUUUACAUG